GCUCCUCCUUAUGGGGGACUUCUCUUCUCUUUUCUUUUUUCUUUCUGCAAUGAGCUGCACCUUGACGCUUUUGUCUCCCGAUGGUAGUGUCCUGCCGAAGCGCUUCCCUUGCCACAGGGAGUUUCGCUGAAGUCCACGAUCUGACAUCUGAGGAAGAAAGUUCAUCAUUUAACAAAAAAAUCGAAGGAGAUGGAGGAUGAACUUCGCAGGCUGAGGA
rnacentral:lncRNA from 1 species